UGAGCAACCUGCCCUUGACUCUGGAAUAACAGUGGAAACAGCUGCUAAUACCGGAUAUGACCGACGACGACAUCGUCGUGAGUGGAAAGCCCUGGCGGUCAAGGAUGGGCUCGCGGCCUAUCAGCUUGUUGGUGAGGUAACGGCUCACCAAGGCUUCGACGGGUAGCCGGCCUGAGAGGGCGACCGGCCACACUGGGACUGAGAUACGGCCCAG
rnacentral:rRNA from 1 species